CGUUCGAAAUGUAUAGAUCCAACAUACAUACACCUUUGAGACUGUUGUUCAGUUUAGUUUUGUUGACGCUGGUAGCAAAGACAGAUGCCGACAGAAAUCAAGUUACAUCAACUUCUAAUUCUGGUGUUUGCUUUUAUGGCAAAACGGCUGAACGGGUACUUAGCAUCUUGACAACAGGAAAAUACAGGCAUAUGCUGUCUUCAGUGCAUAAUCCUCGAGACUGCUCCGACUUGGACAGAAAACUUUACAGAAGUGGUGUGUACAAAAUCUUCCCGAAAGGUAGAGCUGGAUUCCACGUGUACUGUGAUAUGGAGACCGAUGGGGGAGGAUG